rnacentral:rRNA from 1 species
GACGAACGCUGGCGGCGUGCCUAAUACAUGCAAGUAGAACGCUGAAGAGAGGAGCUUGCUCUUCUUGGAUGAGUUGCGAACGGGUGAGUAACGCGUAGGUAACCUGCCUUGUAGCGGGGGAUAACUAUUGGAAACGAUAGCUAAUACCGCAUAACAAUGGAUGACCCAUGUCAUUUAUUUGAAAGGGGCAAAUACUCCACUACAAGAUGGACCUGCGUUGUAUUAGCUAGUAGGUGAGGUAACGGCUCACCUAGGCGACGAUACAUAGCCGACCUGAGAGGGUGAUCGGCCACACUGGGACUGAGACACGGCCCAGACUCCUACGGGAGGCAGCAGUAGGGAAUCUUCGGCAAUGGGGGCAACCCUGACCGAGCAACGCCGCGUGAGUGAAGAAGGUUUUCGGAUCGUAAAGCUCUGUUGUAAGUCAAGAACGAGUGUGAGAGUGGAAAGUUCACACUGUGACGGUAGCUUACCAGAAAGGGACGGCUAACUACGUGCCAGCAGCCGCGGUAAUACGUAGGUCCCGAGCGUUGUCCGGAUUUAUUGGGCGUAAAGCGAGCGCAGGCGGUUUGAUAAGUCUGAAGUUAAAGGCUGUGGCUCAACCGUAGUUCGCUUUGGAAACUGUCAAACUUGAGUGCAGAAGGGGAGAGUGGAAUUCCAUGUGUAGCGGUGAAAUGCGUAGAUAUAUGGAGGAACACCGGUGGCGAAAGCGGCUCUCUGGUCUGUAACUGACGCUGAGGCUCGAAAGCGUGGGGAGCGAACAGGAUUAGAUACCCUGGUAGUCCACGCCGUAAACGAUGAGUGCUAGGUGUUGGAUCCUUUCCGGGAUUCAGUGCCGCAGCUAACGCAUUAAGCACUCCGCCUGGGGAGUACGACCGCAAGGUUGAAACUCGAAGGAAUUGACGGGGGCCCGCACAAGCGGUGGAGCAUGUGGUUUAAUUCGAAGCAACGCGAAGAACCUUACCAGGUCUUGACAUCCCGAUGCUAUUUCUAGAGAUAGAAAGUUACUUCGGUACAUCGGUGACAGGUGGUGCAUGGUUGUCGUCAGCUCGUGUCGUGAGAUGUUGGGUUAAGUCCCGCAACGAGCGCAACCCCUAUUGUUAGUUGCCAUCAUUCAGUUGGGCACUCUAGCGAGACUGCCGGUAAUAAACCGGAGGAAGGUGGGGAUGACGUCAAAUCAUCAUGCCCCUUAUGACCUGGGCUACACACGUGCUACAAUGGUUGGUACAACGAGUUGCGAGUCGGUGACGGCAAGCUAAUCUCUUAAAGCCAAUCUCAGUUCGGAUUGUAGGCUGCAACUCGCCUACAUGAAGUCGGAAUCGCUAGUAAUCGCGGAUCAGCACGCCGCGGUGAAUACGUUCCCGGGCCU